AAACUAGGAUUAGAUACCCUAUUAUUUAAAGUGUAAUAAAAAAUACUAGAGUAGUAAUAGUUAUGUUCUUGAAACUAAAAAAAUUUGGCGGUAUUUUAGUCUUUUCAGAGGAACCUGUCAUAUAAUCGAUAAUCCACGAUGGACCUAACUUAAUUUUGUUUUUCAGUUUGUAUAUCGCUGUUAUAGAAUAUUUUAUAAGAAUAAUAAUUUUCAAUAAAUUUUAUAAAAUUUUAUAUCAAGUCAAGGUGCAGUUUAUGAUUAAGUAUUAGAUGGGUUACAAUAAAAUAAUUUAUACGGAUUAAUAAAUGAAAUAUUAUUAAGAAGGUGGAUUUGAUAGUAAAUU
rnacentral:rRNA from 1 species